CCUACGGGGUGCAGCAGUGGGGAAUAUUGGACAAUGGGCGAAAGCCUGAUCCAGCCAUGCCGCGUGUGUGAAGAAGGCCUUCGGGUUGUAAAGCACUUUCAGUGGGGAAGAAAGCCUUGGGGCUAAUACCCUCGAGGAAGGACAUCACCCACAGAAGAAGCACCGGCUAACUCCGUGCCAGCAGCCGCGGUAAUACGGAGGGUGCGAGCGUUAAUCGGAAUUACUGGGCGUAAAGCGCGCGUAGGCGGUCUGAUAAGCCGGUUGUGAAAGCCCCGGGCUCAACCUGGGAACGGCAUCCGGAACUGUCAGGCUAGAGUGCAGGAGAGGAAGGUAGAAUUCCUGGUGUAGCGGUGAAAUGCGUAGAGAUCGGGAGGAAUACCAGUGGCGAAGGCGGCCUUCUGGACUGACACUGACGCUGAGGUGCGAAAGCGUGGGUAGCAAACAGGAUUAGAUACCCCUGUAGUC
rnacentral:rRNA from 1 species